CCCCCCCACACCCUCUUUAUUUUUAUUUUUUUCCCUUUUAAUUUAUUUAUUCCUUUUCGUUUGGGGGCUUUGCGAAAGCGUCGGGGCGCUAAGGUGGCUUCAAACCUGCCGCAUCCUUGCGCCCAGCCCGUUUUGCGCCGCUGCGGCCGGCCCCGGCUCUGCUGCUCUUUCCCCUCCCGACCACGAAGCCAGCAAAAAAUCGGCGUCCAUCCCCCUCGCACCGCCGCGAAAUCCCGGCUGUGACAGCAGCAGGGCGAGGGGGGCUUGCAUCCAUCCCAACUGGCGUCGCGCCCCUCGCGAGGGGAGAUGUUGGAGAGCAAAGAGCUGAGAUUGGGAAGGGUACCAAACCCAGCAAUGAGCCAUGCCUGUGAGCAUCUCCAAAAGCUCUUCAGAGACCCAAGAAACUCAAGAGCACAGCGUCCUUAUGCCAGACCGCGCACCGGGAAUCACUGAAGAAGUCCACAGGGCAGUUCCCAUGCAUUAGGUUAUAAACAAGCAUGAAUAUUUAUCGUGCCCCUCAGUAGUGUAUGCAGCUGGGAACUUGCGUUAUUUAUCAGUAAAGGAUUUGGCUCCGGGGCUCUGUUCUUUGUAUCCCGCAUCCAUAUGUUCACAGCGGAGCGUGCAGGUGAAACCCACCACGGCUUUGAC